AAAUUAAAUGACCUAAUAAUGAUCCGAUUUUUCCCAAGGCAUGAAAGUCAUUAAUAUUGAUAUAGCAAAUAGGCUAAAGCCCAUAUACAAAUGGCUUAAAAAUGCCCAAUGGAUGGGCUGGAUACAAAUGAAACCCAAGCCCACAAUAAAACGCCCACCAAUGUAAAAAAGGAAACCUAGACCCAGCUCUCUAAAGGCCCAAGCCCAUCACUCAGAACCUAGCAAGGGCAGAAAACACAGAAGAGGAAAAUAGAAAAUGCAAUAUCGUCAUCUCCUCUACAGCCAUCAUCGGGAAUUAAUGUUGCCGAGAAAAGAACAUGGCCGUUGAAGGCAAAUGUCGGUUAGAAAGACCCAAAGAUAGCAUCCGCAAUGAUGGAUCAAGCUAGACUAGGAUUGGAGACAAACCAUAAAAUAGAGAAACAUGGGUGAGCGAUAGUCACAGAGCCAAGAUCCAAAGGUUGCGAUAAUCGAUUAACCACAGCCCGCACCAAUAACACCGAUCGCCAAGCGUCCCACUUGCGCUAUACCUACUUAGUCACCAACGAACGAAAACAAACAAACACUCGUGCCUCUAGAUAGUCUGAACACAAGCAGGGUAACAACUAAACCUUCUUCUUUCAACACAAACACCUGCAUCCAAGAAAACCAACCAAACAACACAACAUGGUAGACCAAUGACCUGUCCUCGCCAAUCAGCUCUGGGUCUA
rnacentral:misc_RNA from 1 species